UUAGUACUCCCUCCGUCCCAAAAUUCUUGUCUUAGAUUUGUCUAGAUACGGAUGUACCUAAUACUAAAACGUGACUUGAUACAUCCGUAUUUAGACAAAUCUAGGACAAGAAUUUUAGGACGGAGGGAGUACUUA
rnacentral:pre_miRNA from 1 species